rnacentral:rRNA from 1 species
GACGAACGCUGGCGGCGUGCUUAACACAUGCAAGUCGUACGGUAAGGCCCUUUCGGGGGUACACGAGUGGCGAACGGGUGAGUAACACGUGAGUAACCUGCCCACAACUUUGGGAUAACGCUAGGAAACUGGUGCUAAUACUGGAUAUGUGCCCCUGCUGCAUGGUGGGGGUUGGAAAGCUCCGGCGGUUGUGGAUGGACUCGCGGCCUAUCAGCUUGUUGGUGGGGUAGUGGCCUACCAAGGCGGCGACGGGUAGCCGGCCUGAGAGGGUGACCGGCCACAUUGGGACUGAGAUACGGCCCAGACUCCUACGGGAGGCAGCAGUGGGGAAUAUUGCACAAUGGGCGCAAGCCUGAUGCAGCAACGCCGCGUGCGGGAUAACGGCCUUCGGGUUGUAAACCGCUUUCAGCAGGGACGAAGCUUUUUGUGACGGUACCUGCAGAAGAAGCACCGGCUAACUACGUG